rnacentral:rRNA from 1 species
GAUGAACGCUGGCGGCGUGCCUAACACAUGCAAGUCGAACGGAGAUUACGGACGGAAGUUUUCGGAUGGAAGACUGUAAUUCUUAGUGGCGGACGGGUGAGUAACGCGUGGGCAACCUGCCCUAUACAGGGGGAUAGCAGCUGGAAACGGCUGGUAAGACCGCAUAAGUCGGUUAAAUCGCAUGAUUUGAUCGGGAAAUGAGCAAUCAGGUAUAGGAUGGGCCCGCGUCCGAUUAGCCAGUUGGCAGGGUAAAAGCCUACCAAAGCGACGAUCGGUAGCCGGACUGAGAGGUCGGACGGCCACAUUGGGACUGAGACACGGCCCAAACUCCUACGGGAGGCAGCAGUGGGGGAUAUUGCACAAUGGAGGAAACUCUGAUGCAGCGACGCCGCGUGAGUGAAGAAGUAUUUCGGUAUGUAAAGCUCUACCAGCAGGGAAGAUGAUGACGGUACCUGACUAAGAAGCCCCGGCUAACUACGUG